CUUUAUGCCAUCCAUUCAAACUAUUGAAAAUACAACAAUCUGUCACUUGUCAACCGUCCGUCAAACGGUAUACAAGAAAAAUGGGAAUGUCGUUUGUAAUAAAUUACAAAAAUUAAUUGACAUGGAAAUUUGAAGCUAAAAGUGAUACAAUAUGAAGCUGUCAAAAUAAAAAUAGAACGAGGCGAAAAGCGUUGAGAUUGUACGAAAAUACACCUUCAGACUGUAUUCCGAACCCUGACCAGCUCGGGACAGAUUCAGUUUUGUAAUAUAAUGCCUUGGGCUGGUCCUUGCUACAACGGCUGUCAUACUUACAUCUCAUGUAUAUAAAGGCUUGAGUUACAUUAAUAAUAUAUAAAGAUAAUAUACAAUAAACAUUUCAAGAAAGAUCUACUUUAAUAGAAUAACAGAAAAAUGUGUUUCUGUUCUACAUCAGAUUAGUAUUAAAAUGUUGAUCAUGACUCGUUAAAGGUUUGCUCUGUGAAGUAAGUUCGCAACAAUCAACCGGCGAGUGCGCAUAGCGAUCUGGUCAGGGGUGCUGUUCAUCAUCGCUGUGUUGCUGCGGACCUUGUACCUGAAGUACGUCAAGGAGACGUGGAAUGAGUCAGACAGCUCCAUCAUGAGUACGAGAAGAGUGAGACGCUAGCGUUACACAUCAGACAUACGGUUGACAUAACUAAAUAAUGUUCCUUGAUAAGUACUACAUAAUAAAUAUAAUCUCGCCUUGAA